rnacentral:rRNA from 1 species
GAUGAACGCUGGCGGCGUGCCUAAUACAUGCGAGUCGAGCGAACAGACGAGGAGCUUGCUCCUCUGACGUUAGCGGCGGACGGGUGAGUAACACGUGGAUAACCUACCUAUAAGACUGGGAUAACUUCGGGAAACCGGAGCUAAUACCGGAUAAUAUAUUGAACCGCAUGGUUCAAUAGUGAAAGACGGUUUUGCUGUCACUUAUAGAUGGAUCCGCGCCGCAUUAGCUAGUUGGUAAGGUAACGGCUUACCAAGGCGACGAUGCGUAGCCGACCUGAGAGGGUGAUCGGCCACACUGGAACUGAGACACGGUCCAGGCUCCUACGGGAGGCAGCAGUAGGGAAUCUUCCGCAAUGGGCGAAAGCCUGACGGAGCAACGCCGCGUGAGUGAUGAAGGUCUUCGGAUCGUAAAACUCUGUUAUUAGGGAAGAACAAAUGUGUAAGUAACUAUGCACGUCUUGACGGUACCUAAUCAGAAAGCCACGGCUAACUACGUG